AAGAAUCAGACUACAAGGCAUACUGCUUAUAACAGUAAUUUUAAAUGUUAAGCUAUGCUCCUGCUUUUUUAACAGGUUGGGCCAAAUGCAUCUUUGUUUUUAUUACCAAGUUUGCAGGGAAGUUGUGGAGAUGUGAGUUUGGUUUGUCUUCUGCACAAUUAUAUCUGACUUUCUUCUGAAGCUUCACUGGGAUCAGCUUCAUCUGGUUGGUUUUUGGGCAGAAGUUACUGAGAGUGGGAGAACUCAGAUCAAACGUUUCCUGAAGUGUGGUAGAAGGCAGGAAGAAUGACACUUGCUAAUUUGAAUUUCAGAAAGCACCUAAACUUCAUUCUGAUCUCCAGACAGGACACUAAACUUCCCUGACUUGAACAGGACACAUGAAAUGUGGGACUAAGUCUGUGUUUUCCAUAUUGAAGCAGGAUCUAGUCAGGAAAAGAACCCAACACUGUCAUAGAAAACAGGAUGUAUAAAGUGGAAUGUUGCUCAGGAAUGGACAAAAACCAGACAAACUAUUGGAAAAAAUGUCAAAAGGAAAGGAAAUGGCCUUCUGGAGGAUGAGGAAGAUGAGCAACAAAGAGACUGUCCAACAAUGUGAAAGAUCCAGAGGCAGCUCUAAAGCUCCAACACAAUUUUUCAUGGACUUUGUCAUCUUAGCUGCUUUGGCAUGUAGUCCAAUAAUUG